rnacentral:rRNA from 1 species
UUCUGACCUCGAAUCAGGUGGGACUACCCGCUGAACUUAAGCAUAUCAAUAAGCGGAGGAAAAGAAACUAACAAGGAUUCCCUUAGUAACUGCGAGUGAAGUGGGAUGAGCUCAAAUUUAAAAUCUGGUAGUCUCUGGCUGCCCGAGUUGUAAUCUAGAGAAGUGUUUUCUGUGCUGGACUGUGUUUAAGUUUCCUGGAUAUGGAACAUCAUAGAGGGUGAGAAUCCCGUCUUUGACACAGACUGCCAGUACUCUGUGAUGCACUCUCAACGAGUCGAGUUGUUUGGGAUUGCAGCUCAAAAUGGGAGGUAAAUUCCUUCUAAAGCUAAAUAUUGGCGAGAGACCGAUAGCGAACAAGUACCGUGAGGGAAAGAUGAAAAGCACUUU